rnacentral:rRNA from 1 species
CACUGGAACUGAGACACGGUCCAGACUCCUACGGGAGGCAGCAGUAGGGAAUCUUCCGCAAUGGGCGAAAGCCUGACGGAGCAACGCCGCGUGAGUGAUGAAGGUCUUCGGAUCGUAAAACUCUGUUAUUAGGGAAGAACAUAUGUGUAAGUAACUGUGCACAUCUUGACGGUACCUAAUCAGAAAGCCACGGCUAACUACGUGCCAGCAGCCGCGGUAAUACGUAGGUGGCAAGCGUUAUCCGGAAUUAUUGGGCGUAAAGCGCGCGUAGGCGGUUUUUUAAGUCUGAUGUGAAAGCCCACGGCUCAACCGUGGAGGGUCAUUGGAAACUGGAAAACUUGAGUGCAGAAGAGGAAAGUGGAAUUCCAUGUGUAGCGGUGAAAUGCGCAGAGAUAUGGAGGAACACCAGUGGCGAAGGCGACUUUCUGGUCUGUAACUGACGCUGAUGUGCGAAAGCGUGGGGAUCAAACAGGAUUAGAUACCCUGGUAGUCCACGCCGUAAACGAUGAGURMURAGUGUUAGGGGGUUUCCGCCCCUUAGUGCUGCAGCUAACGC